rnacentral:lncRNA from 1 species
AUGCAUGUUUAAAUUGAAAUUGUUUGUUGCACGUGUACAUCAAAGAGCACUGUGUUGAAAGAUUAUAACAGACCUUUUAGGUUGGCAUUUGUGUUUUUGUCUUACCUUAUUUGCUUAUUGAUGACUUUGUAAAGAAAGGAAGUGAUGGCUUAGUAAAAGGUCUGAGUAAGAAAACAUCUUCUUGAGCAAAUAUUGGUUGAAUGAAGAGGGCCCUAGCCCUUGCAUUAGUAUUGUACUGUGGCUGUCGCAACCUCUUCUACAGCAAUUUAUUCAUGUCUUCAUGAAGUUGGAUGAAUUAAAAAAAGGCGUGGGCUUCAUUCUGAGUAUGAAUGCUUUGCUUAGACUUCUCCAAACACUUGUUUCCUAAUGUUUGCUCAAGAAGUUAUGGUUUUCUGCAUGAUUAGUACAUUCUGUCUGAUCCUUUCAGCUUAACUACUUCUACACUGUUAUGUAUUCUUUGGCCGAGCAGCAUUUUCUUAGUGUGUUAUUCCUCAAUGUUAUGUUCUGUAAAUUUUUUUGUUGCAAGUAUACCCUCACACACCAAAACAGCAAGUGGUUUGUUUCUUUGCUCAAUUAUAUUUAUUUGUGUGUUGUUCGCGGGUACAAGUAUGACCAGGAAGCUUAACGUGUACUCCCUCCGUUCCUAAAUAUACGUCUUUUUAGAGGUUCAACUAAUGAACUACAUACGGAUGUAUAUAGACAUAUUUUGGAGUAUAGAUUCAUUCAUUUUGCUCUGUAUGUAGACACCUAAUGAAAUAUCUUAAAAGACUUAUAUUUAGGUACGGAGGGAGUAAGAUAGUAGCUGCUUGUAGUUUUAACAUUGUUUCUGAAUGUCAUAAAAUUAUUAUUGUCCAUUAUAAAAUCCACAAGGAGCAGGUGAUGCUAGCUUGUUUGGUAAUUCAUGUGUUGAAUCUUGUAUUUCCACCUCUUUUAGACUUGUCCUCUUGUUCAUUAUGUUAUAUUGUGCUUAAACUGAACAAUAUUUUGGUUUUUGAUUGUAGCAAAGCUGGCGCAGGCCAAAGGGUAUUGAUUCCCGUGUCAGGAGAAAGUUCAAGGGAUGCACCUUGAUGCCCAACAUUGGCUACGGUUCUGACAAGAAGACCAGGCAUUACCUUCCCAACAAGUUCAAGAAGUUUGUUGUCCACAAUGUCUCUGAGCUGGAGCUGCUUAUGAUGCACAACAGGUAAAUGCGUGUUCAUCAUGCCGUUUACAGUACUGUCUUCCACUAUUAUGGUAUGCUAAUUGUAAUAUGCCUUGUUCCUUGCAAUCAGGACCUACUGUGCGGAGAUUGCGCACAACGUCUCCACCAAGAAGCGCAAGGACAUCGUUGAGCGUGCCGCACAGCUCGACAUCGUGGUUACCAACAAGCUUGCCAGGCUCCGCAGCCAAGAGGAUGAGUAAACUGUCUGUUGGUGCUAUGUUUUGGUCUGGUUCGUAUGUAGGGAAUUAUUCUGCCGUCGUUCGUUUUGUGUCUGCCAGGGAUAUCUGCUGUUCCUACCUUUUUGCUACUAGUGCCGACUGUAAUGUGUCAAAGAUCUACUAUUGCCUUUAUAAUCUACUCCAUCCGUCCCGUAAUAUAAGAGCGUUUUUAACACUACCAGUGCUGACUGUAGAUAUCAUUGCCAAUUGCUGAAAAAUUGUGUGUUAAAGUGGGUUUCGGUUGUGCUUCAUAUUCCGGUGAUCAAAUUUAAUCAUCUGUUUUGAAGCACUUAGGUUGAGAUCUUGUCACACUGUUGUGGUUGUGAUACUACAUCAGACAACGUCAAGUAGGAAGUAUGGUCUCUACCUGCUUGAACAUGAAAGUCUCAAUGAUGAUUUAUCUCAAAGGUUGUUUUAGAGCGUACCCCUGAAAAUUCCUGGAAAACAAAGGUGGCUGGGAAAUUGUUGACCUGGCCUUUCGUUCUGAGCUAACUGCAUCUCUUCUUCGGGCUUCAUCCCAUUCCAAACAUGCAUGUGACAGCUACGCUAGCGGCUUAUAGCAAGGUAACAACCAUUCACGGAAACGACGUGCAUGCAUGCUCGCGGACAUUUUUAGCUACAACACGUACGUGCCUAGCCAUCUUUCCUGGUGCAUUUGCACCAUUUCUUCUCGACUUGAACGGCCUCCCAUGCAUGGCAUUGACAACCAGGGGUGACCGACCAUUGGGGGAUCUAUGUAUUAUUUCACGACCAUUGGGGGAUCUAUGUAUUAUUUCAUGCACUAUGGCCCCAUACACCGACGAAGUUUGCCCUCCACAACAGUUUUGCAGUGGGAUGCAACAUGUAUUCUUUGCUCAUGCCAAGGCCUCUUUCACAGUCAGUGCUUCAAGAGUGACCGGGUCAAUGAUGUUUCUGAAGAUAAUAGAUGAAGCGCCCAGAAAAACUCAUGUUUGAUCCCGACAUACAGCUGCAACUGCAGCAUAGCCCUCACACCUCAAAACAACCGCGUCAGAAUUGAUCUUCGCAUAACCAGCUGAUGUGGAAUCCAUACUGUUGGUUUCGCCACUGUAUGUCUGCUCAGUGUUUGCUUUGUUUUGGUAAUAAUCUGUACAUCUCUCACGAAGUAUGUGAUGAAUUUUCGCAUAACCAGCUGAUGUGGAAUCCAUACUGUUGGUCUCGCCACUGUAUGUUUGCUCAGUGUUUGCUUUGUUUUGGUACUCCCCCGUCACGGUUUUAGAAGGCACGCUUGAAAAAACUCUAGGACCAAGGUAGUCGUCGAUUGAUUGUGAGAUGUAGCAUGUGUAAAUACUAAUGCGCUUAAUCAAGUGAGAAAAUACUAAUGUAUGAGCAGCAAAUUGGUACUAAUUAAUAUGAGUAAUUGCUUUAGCGUCUUAAACCUUGUCUAUUUUGAAAAUGCACGCAAGUUUAAUUGUGUCUUCUAAACCGUUACGGAGGGAGUAAUAAUCUUGUUAGAAAUUAACUAGCAAAAGGGCUCGUGCGUUGCAAUGGGAAAAAAAAAUACCACACGCUUUUAAUCUUUUUAUAAUCAUUUUAAUUUAUUAAAAUAAUAAGCUAACUAACUAAUGUAGUUAGUCCUAUCCUAUUUUGUUGAGAAAUCAACCCGUCUAUUGUUAAUUUUACCAUGAUGAGAAAUUAAGCAGGACAAGCAAAGCAAAACAAAGAUGCUACGUGAAUUGAUCAAUGGACUCUUAUCUUAUUUCACUCAUGGGGUAGAGAAUGUGGGAUCAGAUGACAAACUGAAGGCGGUGUUACAUUCUCUCUCUCUACAAUAAUGCAAUCUUACAUUCAUUCAUCAGCAAACAAAUUCUCACAAAAUAAAAUUUCUUGUCGGUGCUUGGCACACGGUUGGAGGCAUGGGGAGGGGAUCUCACCAGAUGAUGAGUUCCUGCCGGAGGAGGGGAUACAAUGAGGGGAGCAAGGGUUAGGCGCCUCUAUCUGGCCAUAAGGAGUCGCCGUUGCCGCGCCAUAACCCUGGAGUUCCUCGUGUGAGCCAUGGAGGCCCGCCUCCACCUGCAAGUACUUCGCUCCGCCGCGCCUUAUCCGCGCGCCGCCGCCGUUCUGCAUGAGCAGACGCAUCAUCCCAAGUCGAUGUAGCUGUCGCGUUGAUUUGAUCUAGAAGCUGUGCUCGAGCUUCAAAACGGGGGCAACAAGCGGGCAGAGGUACGACCGCGGAGGCGGGUGGGUUGAGAUCGACAUCAAUGGUGGUUGAGGUCGGCCGCAGCGGCGAGUGGUGUGGCAGCGGCCUGGGCACAGGCCGGGUGGACCAGGGUCGACGCGAUGCGCUCGAGCGCCGCAUCGGGGGCAGUGAGCGGGCAGAGGUACAGCCGCGGAGGCGGGUGGGUUGAGAUCGGCAGCGGUGACGGUUGAGGUCGGCCACGGCGGGGAGUGGUGUGGCGGCGGCCUGGACACAGGCCAGUGUGGUCCAGGGUCGACGGGAGAAAGUGAUGCGUACGAGUAUAAUUUUUACAGCGAAUCGUUUUUUUCUUUUGCGUUGCAGAUAAAUGAUGGAGCACGGGUUGAAUAACAAAAAUUACAGAGGCUUUUUUUAUAAAAAUGCCGUGGUGGGUUUUCCGACGGAAGCAAUAGCCGCUUUAUUAUUAGGUAUAGAUUAGUAGAUUAAUUUAAUCAAGGGAUGUGUCCAACCCCGAACAGUCGUGUCUCCUCUCUCUCUAUUGCCAACAGACACCUGUUUUGGAGGGAUGCCUUCGAACAGACACAUUUUCUUCGCAUCUCUUCCAGAUGUAUAUAUAUUUGAGAAUCAAUAGAAAUUAGGACUAAUCGUUCAUUUAUUUUCAUUAAUCUCAUUUUACUCGAACACGUUAUCAGCACGCUCUCUGCAGAGCACUGUGACCCUUAUGGGGCGACACAGAACGGCGGAAGACCGAGGCGCUGGGGGAGGCCGACGACAGAGCAGCAGCGGCGACCCACACCGAUGCUCCUGGCGGACGAAGCAGCCCCGUCUUGCAUUUGAGGCAGAUCGGUAGCACUCGAGACCACAAGCCUCGACCAGUCGUCUCCAGCGGUGCCUCGGUCCCAUCGCUACACACGGCACCUGCGAGCAAAAAUCGAUUCAGGGGAACAUGCAAAAAGAAUCGAACUCGCAUCAAUGAAGAACACUAUGCAUCUUGUUAAUCGAGCAUGCACAUGCAGCGGCAAUACAAUGGAGCAUGCAUGUAUACUACUUUCUCCGUUCCAAAAUAUAAGACCUUUUAGAGAUUGUAGUAGGAAACUACAUACGGAGCAAAAUGAGUGAAUUUAUACUCUAAAAUAUGUCUAUGUACAUCCGUAUGUAGUUUAUAGUGCAAUCUCUAAAAGGUCUUAUAUUUAGGAACGGAGGGAGUACUACUCCCGCACAUGCAGCGGCAAUACCAUGGAGCAUGCAUGCAUGGAGUAUUGUAGGAGUAGUAAUUUGUUUGUCUUCUUGUGAUUAAAAUCAUUGGUCUAAUCAUUGAUUAUUUUUGCAUGUAUGCCUUUGUGAAAACGCUCCCGCACAUGAUGAAAUGGAUGGAUCUUUUCUCCAUUCAGUUCGACUUCGGGAGGCUACAUGAUGCAUGACGGCCUCCCCGACACAUGAUGCAUGACGGCCUCCCCUACGCUUGGAGAUGCGAGUACUGAUGGCAGUUUACGUUGUGGCGCGGCUUGGCUUCGAACUCCAAACGCAUGGCAUUGUGGCGCCCUCUAGUGUCGUUGCCCGCGGCCAUGGCCUUCGGCCGGCGAUGCCCUUACGCAAAUGCGACUAUUAGGAUCUAGGCUGCACUAUUUGGCGCACAACAGUGGCGCCCUCCAACAGCCUUCUGCAUACACCACUGCUUCUGUCUGCGGCACACAUCAUGGUUCCCUCAAGCGCGUGGCCCAUCGAUAUCCGCGUCCAACACCAGCAACAAACGGCCGACACGCAACGACGGGCUCAUAAGCCAUGCUGCGACGAGUCGAAGCACCCCAGCGAGGACCGCGAGCGCGCACGGCGGACGACGACCGCGGACGACAUGGCCUUGGCUGGGCUGCUCUCCAGGCGAUUCGUGGCGCGGUGUGCCAGGCCGAUGCGAAAUGGCAAUUGCGAUGGGGAGGAUAAGGUCUCACCAUGGCCCUCGGCCUCCUAGGACAGAGCCGCACAGGACAAGACGCAGCUACACACCAGCACAUGCAGACCUUGAGCGGCUGUGGCGACGACAAGCGCAUGGGACUGUGCCACUCAAUCUCGUGACGCGAUGCCAUCCAUCCUGUUGGAUCACCCAGCGUGGUACAAUGGAGGCGUAGAAUGAAGCGAUUGAUUCUUUUGUAUCCACAACCAGUCAACCACACAGGAAGAGAUAAGAUAUGGAACGUUAUCUCAAUUGGCUAAUUUGCAUGGAGACCUAUCAAGAUUCUUGAACUCGCAAAUUCAUCCCAUAACUUGCACACAAGCCCGUUGACUAAUUGUAUUAUGCAGUUAGCUCUUAACCCUCUGCUAUUUUGCAUUGCAGGCCAUCAGGUUUAAUACUACUUUAACACAAGCCAUCAGGCUUAGUGUUACCUUAGAUAUUCGUUAAUACCAGUAUCAUAUUGGUUGAGUCCCAACACAUUGACCUUAUGUUAUUGGAUCAGUGGAUCAUUCCAUCCCGAAUNNNNNNNNNNNNNNNNNNNNNNNNNNNNNNNNNNNNNNNNNNNNNNNNNNNNNNNNNNNNNNNNNNNNNNNNNNNNNNNNNNNNNNNNNNNNNNNNNNNNACACAUAUAUAUAGUACAAUGUGAGCCUCAACCUUAGCUAUACAAGGUUAGGAGGUGGGCCAGCCUAUACAGAUAUAGACGUGCAAAAUACAUAUUCAACACCCCCGUAGUCGAAGCGUCGCAUGAGAUAUAAAGACUAGACUUGAACUCCUCAAAGACGGAAGUAUGCAAUCCCUUGGUCAUCACAUCCGCAAACUGCUGUGACAACGGAACAUGGAGAACUCGAAUGCGUCUAAGAGCCACCUGUCCGUGAACAAAGUGGAUGUCGAGCUCAAUAUGCUUCGUACAACGAUGAUGGACCGGGUUGGCGGAGAGGUAGACAUCGCUGACAUUGUAGCAGAAGACAAGCAUGGCCUUGUGAACAUCACAAAUGAUCUCCUGAAGAAGCUGCCGAAGCCAGGAGCAGUCAUCAACGACAUUAGCCACUGCCGAUACUCGGCCUCGGCGCUCGAGCGGAAGACUAAGAGAUUAUCGAAGGCCCGAGAUAUACACAGUAACCAGACGUAGAACGUCGUGUGUCAGGGCAUCCCACCCAGUCCGCAUCCGAGUAUGCGACAAGAUCGAUGGAGGCGGAGGCCGUCAAGGUGAGUCCCACGGACAUGGUGCCACGGAUGUAACGAAGGAUACACUUCACCAAGGUCCAGUGAGAGUCACGCAGAGAGUGCUUAUGUAGGUAGACCUGCUGGACGACGUACAGCAAGUCCGGGCGCGUCAAUGUCAAGUACUGCAGGGCACCGACGAUAGAGCGAUAGAGCGGCGCAUCGGUCGCGAGAGCCCUCUGUGGCAGAGACCUUGGCCUUCAUGUCGAUAGGCGUGGGUGUUGUCAUGCAGUUAAGCAUACCGACGCGAUCAAGGAGCUUGUGAGCAUACCGCUGCUGAUGCAAGAAGAGACCAUCCGGCCGGCGAACCACCUCAAUGCCAAGGAAGUAAUGCAGGGCCCCCAAAUCCUUGAGUGCAAACUCAUCACGAAGGCGAGCAGUGACCCACUGGAGGAGCUCAGGAGUGGAUGUCGUGAGGAUGAUGUCAUCGCCGUAUAGCAACAGGUAUGCAGUAACAGCUCCAUGAUGAUACAUGAAUAGUGAAGCAUCUGAGCGGGUGGAGCGAAACCCAAGUGACUACAAAAAAGUGGCAAUCCGCUCGUACCAAGCCCGGGGCACGUGCUUCAGCCCAUAGAGAGAGCGAGAAAGCAGACACACGUGGUCGGGAUGAUCAACGUUGAUGAAACCGGUAGGCUGCUGACAGAACACCUGCUCAGAGAGAUGACCAUGUAGAAAGGCGUUGGCGAUGUCCAACUGAUGAACCGGUCAAGCGCAAGAGACCACCAACUGAAGCACUGUGCGGAUCGUGCCCGGUUUGACAACCGGAGUGAAGGUGUUGGUGAAGUCCACGCCUGCGCCUGCGCGUUGCUGGAAUCCACGAACCACCCAACGAGCUUUGUCGCGCUCGAGAGAACCAUCGGGGUGGGUCUUGUGGCGAAAUACCCAUUUGCCACUAAUGACAUUGGCAUUAGGGGGUCGCGGAACAAGAUGCCACGUGCGGUUGCGCUGUAAAGCGCCGAACUCCUCCUGCAUCGCCGCGAGCCAAUGAGGGUGCCGAACGGCCUCACGAGCAGAGGAGGGAAUGGGUGAUGGUGUCGAUGUCGAGGCCGUGCAUGCGUACACAUCCGAUGGAUAAUGUGCGCUCGGGUAUAGCACGCCAGUGCGAUCGCGGGUCACAACACCAGAAGCCAGAGCCGUUGCUAGGACGGGCGUGGCGACGGGCGAUGAUGUGGUCGAGCCCUCCGCAGUAUGGCUGGCAGCAGAGCCAGAGGGAGAUGGGGCAGCGCUGGUGGAGGGUGUAGUCGCAGGGGAAGCCGGGGCGGACUCGACCUGAGGGGAGGGAGCAGCCGCACGGGAAGCUGGGGCAGACUCGACCUCAGGGGAGGGAGUUGUCGGCCGAGCAGCGGGCGACAGGAGGAGUCGCCUGGCUGGGGCGGCAGCAGGUAGGUGCGAUGAAUAGUCGGUGUCAGGCCAACGGGAGGGCGCACCGGGCACCGGCGAGGGGGCCGCCGACGGAGGUACCUGAAAGAAGAGAAACACCGUCUCAACAAAAUACACGUGCCUCAAAGUGGACACGCGAUAAGUGACAAGAUCGUAGCACCGGUAACCUUUGGUGUUGGAGGGGUAGCCGAGAAAGAUGCACGUGAGUGAUCGGGGGUGAGUUUAUUAGGUGUGGUGGACGCGGUGCUAGGAUAAUAAAGACACCCGAAUAUGCGAAGGUCAUCGUAAGACUUUGACGCACCAAAGAGGAGAUGAUGAGGGGUAUAUUUCCACCGACUGCGACACGGGCGAAUGUUAAUGAGUAAGGUGGCGGUGGCGAGGGCAUCAGGCCAGAACCUGUUAGGUACGUUAGAGUGAAAGAGUAAUGUACGAACACAAUCAUUAAGAGUGCGGAGGAUGCGCUCGGCGCGGCCGUUCUGCUGGGAGGUGUAGGGGCAGGUCAGGCAGAAAACCGUCCCGUCUGAAGCUAGGAGAGCGUGAACAACAGCAUUAUCAAACUCUUUACCGUUAUCGGUUUGGAGUGGAAGAAUAGGGCGACCGAACUGCAUGGUGACAUAGGAGUAAAAGGAUGCAAGUGUAGCGAGAGCAUCGGACUUGCAACGCAGCGGGAAAGUCCACACGUAAUGAGAGAAAUCAUCUAAAAUCACCAAAUAGUACAGGUAGCCGGUAUUACUUGCAAGAGGAGAUGUCCAAACAUCACUAUGAAGUAACUGAAAUGGAAAGGUAGAUAUAGUUGUUGACUCGCUAAAGGAAAGAUGAACGUGCUUGCCAAGACAGCAAGCCUCGCAAGAGUGAUCCUCAAACUUAUUACCUGAAAAAUAAAAAC